rnacentral:lncRNA from 1 species
UGCCUUUAGGGGAAAAGAUAAAAGUAAGGAAUACCUUACCGGGAGGUAUGGCCAAAGGUAAAUCAUAAGCCUUUGAUAAGGACUGGGCCAAAUCCAGACAAACAGCUGCUCAAUCCCAACUUUGUAGUAAGCAGAUAACGUCACACAGAAAAUCAAUGUGAGUGCGACCACUAUUAGAAAAGCUCCCUUCUGCUGGCAUCACUCAAGUGAACAUCAUAUCUGUGCAGGGAUGCUCGUUCUCAGUUACGUUGGGAAAUGGUUUAGGAGGAAGAAGAGACACUACAGUACCAGCUUCCUGUCCUGCCUUGACAAGCAUCCCUUAAAAGGCAUGCCUACCUCAGAGUGCGCAUUUUUGAGUCCAAGACGCAGAAGGACGCUGACGUCAUGGUUCACACUUAUGAUACCAGAACUCAGGGGCCUCCAACAGGAGGAGUGUCCUGAGCUACACUGCAACCCUUACAAACAAACCCAAG